GGAGAACAGAUAAGAGUGCUGCCUUGCCGUCACAAGUUCCAUGCAGCUUGUAUGGACAUGUGGCUCACAUCCUGGAGAUCAUUCUGCCCCGUAUACAAGCGAGAUGCAGGUGCUGGAAUGACAGGCCCUCCUGCCUCGGAGAUCAUUCCGGUACACUUGCCUUCUCUGUCAUCCACAUUCCGGUCGAGCGUGGGAGCAUCCCCUCCCAGACCAAUAAGCCGGCGUCCUUCGUCGCAGUCCAUAUCUCGGGUCUACUCUGCUUCCGGAACCCCGCACUCUCUCAACACCCAAAGACCUUUCAGAAACUCAUCAACCAUGAGCAUAAGCAGAAGCAGCGCAGACCUUGCAAACAUGUCAUCGCCCUACCUCCGCACCUCGCUCCUCCGCGGAGGCUCCACACACUCCCUGGUCGGUAACCACCUGUCUCCACCAGUGAAUAUAAGUUACGCUUAUGCCCCACCACAGAUGUACAAUUCCGGCUAUCCGUCACCCAGCCCGCACGCCGGUUCUUCCUACAUCAACUCUGGGUACGGAUCGCCGUCGGGCUACUACCUGGGCUCGUCCAGCCAGCAUCGGUCUUCGGUGUACCUGAGGCGCUGUGGGGAGUCAGGGCCAAGCCUGUCCACCAUGGCCCCUCAGUCACCACAGCAGCAGCAGUCCCAGCUGCUGCGGCACGGCGGUGACUCAGAUGCGAUCCUGAACCUGGCGGACGCAUCGUCGGCCCAGUCCUUCCAUCAGUCCUACCUGAGGCACUACGACGACUCGGACGCGAGCCUGUCCGCCAUGGCUUCGUCAGGGCAGUCGCUGCCGGGAUGCUGA
rnacentral:rRNA from 1 species